rnacentral:lncRNA from 1 species
CUCGUAUCUUAUUCAGUGAAUACCUUUUUACAACAGCUUAACUGUCUAUUAUAUGCUUUUUCAGUGAAUACCUUUGUAAUACUCCUACAAAGAACCCAAAAACAACUCCAGCGAAUGUCGUAACUAUUAGCAAGUUUUUGUAAAUACGCUCUAGAAAAUAUCAACCACAGUAACAAUGUUUUUCCUCUUUCUUCCAAAGCACUGAUUAUUCUUUUGGCUAAAACAAACACUAUCAACAACUUUGCUUAAAAAAGCUACUCAAUUUUUAAUUUCUAGUACAAUUAUAAUUCUUGAGAUAAAUUUCAAAUACUUGGAUAAUAUCAAUUAUUUUUGGGUAUCAUUGAAUAGAAAAGAGUGUUAAACAUAUGUGCAAAAGGAAGAGACAGGUGUUUAAAGACGUGAAAUAAAGAGGACAAAAAGUUGGGAAUUAGGAUUGCAUGCACAUUGAAGAAACUAACAGAAUCAUAGAGGCACUAAAAACAGAAAGCCAAAGAGUAAAAAAUAAAAAUUUAUUCCAUAUAAAAAUCCAAAGCCAAAUCAAGUUAAUAAGUUCCUGCAAUAACUACAUAUAUCGAAUAUAGAAUACAAGAAUAAUAAGACACAAAACAAAUCAACGAGCUUACUUAUAAUAUGAGCUCCAGGUAUAAACAGAGACAUUACAUUACCUUACAAAUGUUGGUUGCCGUACUCUAAUUCCUUGCAGUUUUGGGGCCAAAUAACAACGUUAAUCUCUGGACAUGUUGCAUAGAUAACAUGACAAUUACAAUCCACUUAUGAAAGUGUUAAUUAAAAACCUUUUCAUGUAGUCACUUUAUCAAAGAUGUAGGUUCAACCUACAAAACUUAAAAAUUAAAAUGAAAGAUUCAACAGAAUAUGCCACAAAAUAAAAACUAAGGCAAUUCUUUUUCUUUAAUGCAUUCCAUCAAACACCUAGUGGGCUUCGUUAGAAACUAUUUCGUCUAAUUUUUUUUCAGUCCAGAAAAUACCAAAUUAGCCCCAAAAAAGAAAAGACUGCUGAAUAAUAUCAUCAAAAUGCAAAGUUCAUACGUUCAAGAUGCAUUCGGCAUAGACAUAAGCACUUGAAUGUACAUGAACAUUUAAUAGCUUGAGCUUUAGCAUGUCAGUAGAGAUAAUUUGAGAAACAACCAUGAAUCCAGCCCAAAAAUCAGAAAAAAAAGGAAAAAAUUGACAAAAUUUAGAAGACCUAACAACUUAAUCAAUUUAAAAUCUAUUUGCAAUCUCACGUAUUUCUCUGAGAAUCUAAAUUCAAAUCCACCAAAAUGGAAAUCGGUAGCAUAAUCUCAAAACAAAAAUCAACAUAUAUGAAAAUGAAUUUACUCGAUCUUCUAUUUUGAAAAGCAAUGCAAGUCCUAUGAACGGAAAAUUUACCUCAGAGCAGCGGCGGCUUGGCCUGGCUUUGAACACUAUUUGAACACUAUUUGAACGGAAAAUUUGCGCGUGCAUCGUCGUCGUAGUCGUCGUCAGUGUUCUAACGACAGCAAGAACACUAUUUGAACAACGGCAAAGAUGCGGGAUUGAUUUCUAGGGUUUGGCAAGCGUGUUGUUUCACAGUGUUAGUUGAUGAGUGGCAUGCGUUAUGUGGUGAGCAAUAAGUGAUUAAGUGAGUUCGGUGACAUGAGAAAUUUUU